rnacentral:rRNA from 1 species
UACGUAGGGGGCUAGCGUUGCUCGGAAUCACUGGGCGUAAAGGGUGUGUAGGCGGCUUACUAAGUCAGGGGUGAAAUCCUGGAGCUCAACUCCAGAACUGCCUUUGAUACUGGUGAGCUUGAGUCCGGAAGAGGUGAGUGGAACUGCGAGUGUAGAGGUGAAAUUCGUAGAGAUUCGCAAGAACACCAUUGGCGAAGGCGGCUCACUGGACCGAGACUGACGCUGAGGCGCGAAAGCGUGGGGAGCAAACAGG